AUGGAAGGCAUGGCUCAUGAACAAGGCCGGAAGACUAGCACUGGUCAAAUCGGUGCUCUCAGCCAUCCCGGUCCACCAAAUGCUUGCAUUUGCCCCACCCAAGAAGAUGCUCAAGCAGCUGGAAAAGAUCCAACGAGGCUUCCUAUGGGCUGGACGCGCAACAGCCAACGGUGGACACUGCCAUGUCAACUGGCGCAAUGUGUGCCGGCCGUUGGAGCACGGCGGCUUGGGGAUCCGGGACCUGGAGCGUGCCGGCCUAGCGCUGAGGCUGCGAUGGCUAUGGUACGCGCACACGGACGACGACCGCGCUUGGCAAGGGCUCGACCUCCAAUUCUCUAG
rnacentral:rRNA from 1 species